GGCGAACGGGUGAGUAACACGUGAGUAACCUGCCCUUGACUUUGGGAUAACUUCAGGAAACUGGGGCUAAUACCGGAUAGGAGCUCCUGCUGCAUGGUGGGGGUUGGAAAGUUUCGGCGGUUGGGGAUGGACUCGCGGCUUAUCAGCUUGUUGGUGGGGCAGUGGCUUACCAAGGCGGCGACGGGUAGCCGGCCUGAGAGGGUGGACGGCCACAUUGGGACUGAGAUACGGCCCAG
rnacentral:rRNA from 1 species